AUGGUAUUCAUUGCUAUGUUCGAAUAACUGAACCUGAAUGAUGUUACUUUUUCAUCACUGCAAAUGCCACAGUAAUAGAGAUACUUAACUGGUAACGACCAGAAUAACCGAUGUUCUUCUACGCUGAUUUUCCUGGCUGUUUAAAAAGCUACUUUAUAAUACUUCUGGUUUACUUGUUUAGAAUCCAUUUUAAUAAUAUUUUGCACUGUAAGAUACUUCUGGUCUCUGCUCUUUUGUCAGGCCUAGGGCAAUAGCUAAUUGAGACCAUGUAUUACCAGCAAGGCAUCUGCACUGAGGGCACUGUGGGAGCGCUGUGUGAGACGCAGGCACCUGUCAGAAAGGGGGCUAAAUUUCAAACAAGGAACAUAGUGUUGCAUCACAACGAACUAAAUGAAGCAAAGACUAACCUUCCUUAACAGUUACUCAGUUGAUUAUCCUUGUGGCAACUUGAGGAAAGAGAGGGUAAAAACUGCCACUGCCAAUCUGGAGUUGGAGGUUAUCAAAGCUGAUGCUAUC
rnacentral:lncRNA from 1 species